GUGUGCGUGUGUGUGUGCGUGCCUGUGUGUGCGCGCGCGCGCGCGUCCGUGUGUGUGUGUUUACUCGUGUGUGUGUCCGACGUCAGGAAACGAAACCUUCCAUUACGCGUGAACAAUGAAACCUCUCUAUAACGGACACAAUUGGAUAAUUCAAAUGAGUGAUUGUAACACUCGGCUCCGACAUUUUACAGGAUUUUAAGGGUUGACGGUGGUCAACGAGUGGACGUGGGCAUGUAUGGCAGACAGCAAAGACAAUAUAGGAAACCCGCGUCUGUCUGACGUGGACCUGUAGAGCCUAACCUGCACGAUAACGACGUGGUCGCGUUUCAUAUACGGAC